CAGCCAAGUGCUUUUCCUGUACCAUCAGAUUUGCUUUUACCCUGAAGUUCCAAUCAGCCGAGACUUACUGAGUGUUUAGUAUGUGCUAGGCACUGGGGACGCAGAAAUGAACUUGGCACACCCGGCCUGCAGAGACCUCAUGGUCUAGUGCUCACAGGCCUGUUUGGUGUUGCUUCGGGGGUUCCUCCCUUCUUGCAUUCUCAGCUCUGUGGGGGUAGUUUUGAACUCCCCCCUCCACCCCAGGGUUGGCUGUUGGAGUGACAACUUAGCAAUACUUGGUGCACGGAGAGCCCUCAACAAACAGCAGUCAUUGUUUGAUUUGGAAUAGAAAGACAGCAUUCCCCAUCCAGCCCCGUGGAUCCAUGCAGUGAGGCCUGGGCAUUUGUGGUCUCCAGGGAACCGACCACCCACCAGGGCCCCGAGGAAGCCUGUCCAGCUCUCCACAGUGUGCAGAGUCCACGUGUGGCCACUGUGUGAUUGCUCACAUUUGUAAAAUGGGGACAGGCACAGAGCACAGAGCACCUGUCAUGGGAACACCAAGAGGAUGCGAUGAACGCUGAGCUUGGCACCGGAUUUUGUCCACUUGAGGAAGACCGGUGAGCCCCGUUCAUGGGCCCAGCUACACGGCGGGUUCCGCACUACCUCGUGUCUCUCUUGAGCAUAAGGAAUGAGUGUGAGAUAUCAAGGAGAGGUGGUUUAUCUCAUUUCAUGGAUGGGGAGACAGGUCCAGAGAAGAGAGGUGACUUGCUCGAGGCCAAGAACAAGAGCGGAAGAAAAGAAGACUUGAAACAAUGUCUGAGCUCAUCCUCUCUGACUUGCUAGGACCCCCCCACGCUCUCUUCUUCCUGCAGUUGGCAGACAUUCAGUAAGCGCCUACUAUGUGCAUGGUCUGUGCCAGAGCUGUGGGAUGGCUUUCGUGAGCCCUGGGCCCUUGGCCUUCCUGUGCCCCCUUCCACCAUAGCCAGCAUACAAAAUUGUUUUAUGACUGCAUUGUUUCCCUGGCUGGAUUAUGGUCAUAUUUUCCUUCUGGUUUUAAGAGAAAUAAAAACAUAUGUGUGGGCCUGUAAACACAGUCAGGGCCCUAGGUACCGUACCUUCUGCACCUGAUGGAGACGUCAGCCCUGCUCGCCUGACACAAACCAAAACAAUCUUGCAAAUAAAGCUUAAAUGACAACCGUGACAAGCUUUACAAGGGAGAGGUUCUGCGUGUUAUAAGGAUUUGUGGCCAGAGUUUGGUCCAACAUGGGAGCCUGAAGGAGCAUCUCUUAGGAAGCUGAUCUCAGCCCUGAGGAGAUCAGGAAAGAGUCAGCGAUGAGUGGGGGAGGGAGUGUCCCAGGCUGAUGAGACAGCCGGUGCAAAGGCCCUGUGGCAAGACCAGAGGGCAC